rnacentral:rRNA from 1 species
CGGCCUACCAAGGCUUUUGACGGGUAGCCGGCCUGAGAGGGUGGUCAGCCACACGGGGACUGAGACACUGCCCCGACUCCUACGGGAGGCUGCAGUCGAGGAUAUUUAGCAAUGGACGAAAGUCUGACUAUGCGACGCCGCGUGAGGGAUGAAGGUUUUCGGAUCGUAAACCUCUUUCGAUGGGGAAGAAGGUCUUGUUGUGAAUAGCGGCAAGACUUGACGGUACCCAGAGAAGAAGCCACGGCCAACUCCGUGCCAGCAGCCGCGGUAAUACGGGGGUGGCGAGCGUUACUCGGAUUCAUUGGGUGUAAAGGGCAGGUAGGUGGUUAUGUAAGUUGGAGGUGAAAUCCUAGGGCUCAACCCUAGAACUGCCUUCAAAACUACAUGACUUGAGGUUGGGAGAGGAGAGCGGAAUUCCCGGUGUAAGGGUGAAAUCUGUAGAUAUCGGGAGGAACACCAGUGGCGAAGGCGGCUCUCUGGCCUAAUCCUGACACUGAACUGCGAAAGCUAGGGGAGCAAACAGGAUUAGAUACCCUGGUAGUCCUAGCCGUAAACGAUGAGCACUAGGUGUUGGGGGUAACCCUUCAGCGCCGCAAGUUAACACGUUAAGUGCUCCACCUGGGGACUACGGCCGCAAGGCUAAAACUCAAAGGAAUUGACGGGGGCCCGCACAAGCGGUGGAACAUGUGGUUCAAUUCGACGCUACGCGAGGAACCUCACCAAGGCUUGACAUGCAGGAAGUAGUGAACUGAAAGGGGAACGACCCGUCAAAUCAGGAGCCUGCACAGGUGCUGCAUGGCUGUCGUCAGCUCGUGUCGUGAGAUGUUGGGUUAAGUCCCGCAACGAGCGCAACCAUCAUCUUUAGUUGCUACUCUUAAAGCCGCAAGGCCGAGAGAGGCACUCUAGAGAGACUGCUCGCGAUAAGCGAGAGGAAGGCGGAGAUGACGUCAAGUCAGUACGGCCUUUAUGCCUUGGGCUACACACGUGUUACAAUGCCCACUACAAAGCGUUGCCAACCCGCGAGGGGGAGCUAAUCGCAAAAAGGUGGGCUCAGUUCAGAUUGGAGUCUGCAACUCGACUCCAUGAAGCCGGAAUCGCUAGUAAUGACAGAUCAGCUACGCUGUCGUGAAUACGUUCCCGGGCCUUGUACACACCGCCCGUCAAGCGAUGGGAGCUGGUGGUACCUGAAGUCUCCAAGCAAUUGGGGCCUAAGGUAAAACUGGUGACUGGCGCUAAGUCGUAACAAGGUA